rnacentral:rRNA from 1 species
GUCUAUGGCCAUACCACCCUGAACGCGCCCGGUCUUGUCUGAUCUCAGAAGCUAAGCAGGGUUGGGCCUGGUUAGUACUUGGAUGGGAGAAAUAUACCUAACAAGUCCUGAAAACAGAUGAGGAGCCACAGGAC